rnacentral:rRNA from 1 species
UUCGCAAUGCCCGAAAGGGUGACGAAGCGACGCCGCGUGUGGGAAGAAGGCCUUCGGGUUGUAAACCACUGUCGGGAGUUAAGAAAUGCAAGGAUAUUAAUAGUGCCUUUGCUUGACUAAGGCUCCGGAGGAAGCCACGGCUAACUCUGUGCCAGCAGCCGCGGUAAUACAGAGGCGGCAAGCGUUGUUCGGAAUUAUUGGGCGUAAAGAGCACGUAGGCGGCUAUGUAAGUCGGUUGUGAAAGCCUUCCGCUCAACGGGAGAACAGCAUCCGAUACUACAUGGCUUGAGUGCGGGAGGGGAGAGUGGAACUUCUGGUGGAGCGGUGAAAUGCGUAGAUAUCAGAAGGAACGCCGGCGGCGAAAGCGGCUCUCUGGCCCAUAACUGACGCUGAGUGUGCGAAAGCUAGGGGAGCAAACGGGAUUAGAUACCCCGGUAGUCCUAGCCGUAAACGAUGGGCACUAAGUAGAGGGGUUUUA